GUUAUUUUGCGAUGGCAAGCAAAGAAAUUCAAGACCAUGGAGAGAGAAUCCAAGCUCAGAAGAAGCCAAAGGCGUACCUGUGGCGCGUUUUAGCCACAACUAGCAAUGGAAAGUAAGCCACGUCUUCAUAUCCCACACCAAUACAAAACUCUCUAUUUCUCCAUUCUGUCUGCAUCGCCCUACAGCGCGUGAUUACCACUGUAGCCUUGGAAUUGGAGGAAUUGCAAUUAACCAAAAACAUAAUUAUAAAACUAAUCAAACAUCAACCUCCUCUCUCCCUUCCCAUAGCAUUUUCAUAUAGGCGCUGUAAU
rnacentral:misc_RNA from 1 species